rnacentral:lncRNA from 1 species
UAAACCCAUUAGCUUCAAUGAGGUUUUUGCCCAGUCCCUAGCAUAGCAAUAAUCUAGAUUAUGGAGUGGGUGACUACCAUAUAACACCAUCUGAACUGGAUUGUAUAACACCUCUUCAGUUAUUGCCUUAAAAAGUUAAGGAUAACUUGGCAUAACCUCUGGCUGGAAUCAGAAGUGAGUAAGGAAUAGAUUGUGACUGGAUCUUAUCGGGUUCCUCUGCAGCAAAAAGUAAGGCUAUAUUAUCUCAUUCUCCAGAGCAAAUAACUAAACUGACUGAAAGGCUGAUUCACUAAAGCAAUAACUCCAGCUUGUUCAUACUGGCACUCCCUGUUUAUAGUCUUCGGUUACAAGUUCAGAGAGUAAUUGCCAGCCAACCACAGUAACAAUCAAAUUGUGACACUUAAGCCUUGUCCACACUGUAAUUUUUGACUGAGUUUGUAACCAAUUAGUGGCAUGGUGGGCUCUAAAUGGUUGGUGUUAGUGCAUCACAUGGUUAAUUCUUGGCUAGUAGCCCUGGCUUCCAGCAGUGCUUGGGCCUAGGUUGCCACAUGGUUGUCUUCCUGUAACUAAGUUGGCACUGUUUAUUUUCAGUGCAGCCAGGACCCCUGAACACACCUCAGUAAUGAGUUGGCCUGGUCCUCCUUCCUCCAAGCAGUGUGUGUGGUGAAUAUUUCCGAGUGUAUUUGUGAGCCCGAUCAGCUGACCUAGAAAGAGUCACAGGAGAGGGAAAUGAGAACUCCAGAAAGAGACUGAGACCCUCCGCAGGGUAAUGGAGGAAGGCCUCAGAACCCCAGUGGGGAGGAAUCGCAGAAAAUGUGGUGAGCACUUGAAGCUCCAACAGAAGGGUGCCCUGAAAAUCCCUUCAGGGUGGCUGAUGGGUACGUGGAUCUGUGUGUCUGCGGCGGAGUUAUAGCUGCAUUUUGGGGGCUGCUCAAAAUAUCUCUGACUGUUGCGGGUUGGACUGGCAGGCAUUAGACGUGUAUGAAGAGGGGUCGUAUGAGCUGGAAGACCCACAAGCA